rnacentral:rRNA from 1 species
AGGGGAUAACAUUUGGAAACAAGUGCUAAUACCGUAUAACACUAACAACCGCAUGGUUGUUAGUUCCAAGAUGGUUCUGCUAUCACUAAGAGAUGGACCCGCGGUGCAUUAGCUAGUUGGUAAGGUAAUGGCUUACCAAGGCGAUGAUGCGUAGCCGAGUUGAGAGACUGAUCGGCCACAAUGGGACUGAGACACGGCCCAUACUCCUACGGGAGGCAGCAGUAGGGAAUCUUCCACAAUGGGCGCAAGCCUGAUGGAGCAACGCCGCGUGUGUGAUGAAGGGUUUCGGCUCGUAAAACACUGUUAUAAGAGAAGAACGACAUUGAGAGUAACUGUUCAGUGUGUGACGGUAUCUUAUCAGAAAGGAACGGCUAAAUACGUGCCAGCAGCCGCGGUAAUACGUAUGUUCCAAGCGUUAUCCGGAUUUAUUGGGCGUAAAGCGAGCGCAGACGGUUAUUUAAGUCUGAAGUGAAAGCCCUCAGCUCAACUGAGGAAGGGCUUUGGAAACUGGAUAACUUGAGUGCAGUAGAGGAAAGUGGAACUCCAUGUGUAGCGGUGAAAUGCGUAGAUAUAUGGAAGAACACCGGUGGCGAAAGCGGCUUUCUGGACUGUAACUGACGUUUGAGGCUCGAAAGUGUGGGUAGCAAACAGGAUUAGAUACCCUGGUAGUCCACAC